rnacentral:tRNA from 1 species
AUUUACAUAGCUUAUGUCAAAGCACGGUAUUGAAGAUACCAGGAAAAUAUGAAGUAUUUGUAAAUA